UCAAUGCUGUAUUUAAGCCCCAGUUUAAGAGCUUGAUGUGUGGCUUUUUUUUUUUUUUUUUUUAAACUCUGAGAGAUGACUUCAAACAUUGCAAUGUCGUAGUCCAUAGGCCUCCGAUUCCUGAGUCCUCUCUGCUUAUGUGCAUUACUUAACAUUUACUCUCUUUAUUUCCUCCUUGUUUCAGAGCCAUCACACCCUGGCAAGGAGGAGCUGGUUUCCGUUCGGUCACUGCCACCUUGAAUGAAACUGCUCAUUUUUGAGACUGGAAAACCAUGUCAGUUGGUGACCCGCGAAACGGGAAGAACCAGCAACGUGUUGGGUCGAAGAGGGCUGUGGAGGCAGCUGGACGCGGCUGUUAAGGAACCGCAGCUGCUGUGCUUCUGCAACGAGGGUCAGCUAAGCCAUGUGGAGGCUGAUCUUGCUGGGAUAGUUGUUCCUGAAGACUGUGAUACGUGAGCCACAGGUUGUGUGGAUUGGGCCAAAUGAGGAACAAGGAACUUGGGAUCCCAAAAUACAAGAGUCAUGAUGUGGUUAUUCAAGAAUCGUGUUCCCUGAAUUACUUCAUAUAUAGAUAAGGCCUUUACAGGAAGGUUUUCAGAGAGGCCUGUGCAGGUAAGAACAGGUUACACUUUCUGCCUUCUCUACAACUAAGUAACGAAGCAAUGCCUGUCUGGCAAGAGUGACGUGAUGCAUUCAAGAGUCAAAGCAUAGUCUUUACAUGAUAUAAUACCCUUCCGAAUAGGACAGGCAGCCUCCUAAGAGCUACGACCUGUAAGAGCGCAUGCAACUGCCUUUAAAUAAAGAGCUGCUGGGGCGUCCAGCUAUUCAGGUCCAUCCCUAGCCUGCUCAAAUUGAAUUUGAUGCACUAAA